UACGAAGGGGGCUAGGCGUUGCUCGGAAUCACUGGCGUAAAGCGCACGUAGGCGGAUUGCUAAGUCAGGGUGAAAUCCUGGGAGCUCAACUCCAGAACUGCCUUUGAUACUGGCCGUACCUUGAGUCCGGGAGAGGUGAGUGGAACUGCGAGUGUAGAGGUGAAAUUCGUAGAUAUUCGCAAGAACACCAGUGGCGAAGGCGGACUCACCUGGCCCGGUACUGG
rnacentral:rRNA from 1 species